GACGAACGCUGGCGGCGUGCCUAAUACAUGCAAGUAGAACGCAGUUGCGAACGGGUGAGUAACGCGUAGGUAACUGCCUCAUAGCGGGGGAUAACUAUUGGAAACGAUAGCUAAUACCGCAUACUGGGAGAUGGACCGGCGUUGCAUUAGCUAGUUGGUGAGGUAAAGGCUCACCAAGGCGACGAUACCUACUCGACCUGAGAGGGUGGUCGGCCACACUGGGAAUGGUGCCAGGGCCAGACUCCUUCGGGAGGCAACAGUAGGGAAUCAUCGGAAAUGGAGGGAAGUCUGGACGAAGAACGCCGGGUGAGUGGAGGAGGGUUUCGGGUCGUAAAGCUCUGUUGUUAGCGGAGCGGUAACUAACCAGAAAGGGACGGCUAACUACGUGCCAGCAGCCGCGGUAAUAC
rnacentral:rRNA from 1 species